rnacentral:rRNA from 1 species
CUAAGAAUAUUCCGCAAUGGACGAAAGUCUGACGGAGCGACGCCGCGUGGAUGACGAGGGCCGAAAGGUUGUAAAAUCCUUUUGCCACUGAAGAAUAAGUGUUGUAGGAAAUGACAGCAUGAUGACGUUAGGUGGUGAAUAAGCCCCGGCUAAUUACGUGCCAGCAGCCGCGGUAACACGUAAGGGGCAAGCGUUGUUCGGAAUUAUUGGGCGUAAAGGGCGCGUAGGCGGUUUAAUAAGCCUGAUGUGAAAUCCCGCAACUUAACUGCGGAACUGCAUUGGGAACUGUUUUACUUGAGUCGUGGAGGGGAAAUUGGAAUUCCUAGUGUAGGGGUGAAAUCUGCAGAUAUUAGGAAGAACACCAAUGGCGAAGGCAAAUUUCCAGCCACUGACUGACGCUGAGGCGCGAAAGUGCGGGGAGCAAACAGGAUUAGAUACCCUGGUAGUCCGCGCUAUAAACGAUGUACACUAGGUGUUGGUCUUACCGAUCAGUGCCGUAGCUAACGUGUUAAGUGUACCGCCUGGGGAGUAUGCCCGCAAGGGUGAAACUCAAAGGAAUUGACGGGGGCCCGCACAAGCGGUGGAGCAUGUGGUUUAAUUCGAUGAUGCGCGAGGAACCUUACCUGGGUUUGACAUGGUAGUGUAAGGUGUAGAGAUACACCCCCGUAGCAAUACGCGUUAUCACAGGUGCUGCAUGGCUGUCGUCAGCUCGUGCCGUGAGGUGUUGGGUUAAGUCCCGCAACGAGCGCAACCCCUACUGCCAGUUACUGGCAGGUUAUGCUGAGGACUCUGGCGGAACUGCCGGUGACAAACCGGAGGAAGGCGGGGAUGACGUCAAGUCAUCAUGGCCCUUAUGUCCAGGGCUACACACGUGCUACAAUGGGCGGCACAAAUCGAUGCGAAACCGCGAGGUCAUAGCAAAGCGCAAAAAACCGCCCGUAGUUCGGAUUGAAGUCUGAAACCCGACUUCAUGAAGUUGGAAUCGCUAGUAAUCGUACAUCAGCAUGGUACGGUGAAUACGUUCCCGGGCCUUGUACACACCGCCCGUCACACCAUCCGAGUUGGAGGUACCCAAAGCCGGUAGGGUAACCGUAAGGAGCGCGCUGUCUAAGGUAAAUUUAGUGAGGAGGGUG